GUGCUCCCUUCAGCAGCACAUACACUAAAAUUGGAGCAAUACAGAGAAAAUUAGCGUGGCCCCUGUACAAGGCUGACACACAAAUUUGUGAAGGGUUUCAUAUUAAA
rnacentral:snRNA from 1 species